rnacentral:rRNA from 1 species
AACGCGAAGAACCUUACCUACCCUUGACAUCCUAGGAAGACUGCAGAGAUGCGGUUGUGCCGAAAGGAACCUAGAGACAGGUGCUGCAUGGCUGUCGUCAGCUCGUGUUGUGAGAUGUUGGGUUAAGUCCCGUAACGAGCGCAACCCUUAUCCUUAGUUACCAGCACGUUAUGGUGGGCACUCUAAGGAGACUGCCGGUGAUGAACCGGAGGAAGGCGGGGACGACGUCAAGUCAUCAUGGCCUUUAUGGGUAGGGCUACACACGUGCUACAAUGGACAGUACAGAGGGCGGCCAACCCGCGAGGGGGAGCCAAUCCCAGAAAGCUGUUCGUAGUCCGGAUCGGAGUCUGCAACUCGACUCCGUGAAGUCGGAAUCGCUAGUAAUCGCGAAUCAGAAUGUCGCGGUGAAUACGUUCCCGGGCCUUGUACACACCGCAUAC